UAACUUAGCGUCAUCGGCUAACGAGCCGACCAGUGUUGAAGAGGAUAAAAGUAAUUAAAAGUAUUAAAAUAAUAUAAUUUAAAUAAUAUCAAACGUAUAAAAACGUACGUGUCGUCAAAGGAAUGUUGGUACUUGAUUUUUACCUAAGACUUCACUUUUAACUGCUACAGAAGUUACAGAAGUUCCCGGACCAGUAAAGUGUCCACUCAUGGUGAAGUAGCUGUCUCCAAGACCCUCACCAGUACAUUUUGUUCAUCAUACUGUAUUCUGAAGAGAAGGAAGAAUGUUGAAGCUUUAUUACGAUCUUUUGUCACAGCCUUCAAGAGCUGUAUUUAUAUUUAUGAAAAAGAACAAAAUUCCAUUCUCUGAGAGGCCUGUGGCGCUGCGCAAAGGUGAACACAGAACAGAGGAGUAUGCCAACAUCAACCCCUUUCAGUUAGUGCCAGCAAUUGAUGAUGAUGGGUUCAAGCUAACUGAGAGCGUUGCAUAUG